CCUACGGGGAGCAGCAGUGAGGAAUAUUGGUCAAUGGACGAGAGUCUGAACCAGCCAAGUAGCGUGAAGGAUGACUGCCCUAUGGGUUGUAAACUUCUUUUAUAUGGGAAUAAAACGUUCCACGUGUGGGAUUUUGUAUGUACCAUAUGAAUAAGGAUCGGCUAACUCCGUGCCAGCAGCCGCGGUAAUACGGAGGAUCCGAGCGUUAUCCGGAUUUAUUGGGUUUAAAGGGAGCGUAGGUGGAUUGUUAAGUCAGUUGUGAAAGUUUGCGGCUCAACCGUAAAAUUGCAGUUGAAACUGGCAGUCUUGAGUACAGGAGAGGUGGGCGGAAUUCGUGGUGUAGCGGUGAAAUGCUUAGAUAUCACGAAGAACUCCGAUGGCGAAGGCAGUUCACUGGACUGCAACUGACACUGAGGCUCGAAAGUGUGGGUAUCAAACAGGAUUAGAUACCCUGGUAGUC
rnacentral:rRNA from 1 species